GACGAACGCUGGCGGCGUGCUUAACACAUGCAAGUCGAACGGAAAGGCCCUGCUUUUGUGGGGUGCUCGAGUGGCGAACGGGUGAGUAACACGUGAGUAACCUGCCCUUGACUUUGGGAUAACUUCAGGAAACUGGGGCUAAUACCGGAUAGGAGCUCCUGCUGCAUGGUGGGGGUUGGAAAGUUUCGGCGGUUGGGGAUGGACUCGCGGCUUAUCAGCUUGUUGGUGGGGUAGUGGCUUACCAAGGCUUUGACGGGUAGCCGGCCUGAGAGGGUGACCGGCCACGUUGGGACUGAGAUACGGCCCAGACUCCUACGGGAGGCAGCAGUGGGGAAUAUUGCACAGUGGGCGGAAGCCUGGUGCAGCAACGCCGCGUGCGGGAUGACGGCCUUCGGGUUGUAAACCGCUUUCGCCUGUGACGAAGCGUGAGUGACGGUAAUGGGUAAAGAAGCACCGGCUAACUACGUG
rnacentral:rRNA from 1 species